rnacentral:lncRNA from 1 species
CUGGAUUUAAUGAAUUUAGUGUUGGAAAGUUUAGUCGUUAUUAAUAAAGUCCUUCACAGACGAGUCAGCCGUUCCCUGCAGUUUCCAGCGCUGAGGAGAGUGUUCAUGCCCGCACCUGUACGGGUCUCUCCUCUUCCUCUGUCUCUGAGUCCUUAGGGAUCCUUGUAACACCCACCGUGUCAUUUAUCUUUGACUCUCAACUGCCCCCAGAGCACCAAGUGCUGAGCACAUGACUGUAAAAUGAGCAGAAACCUUUCGUGGUGAACAGGUGAAAAUGCCACAUCGCCGACAGCCAACAAGGAAGCGAGAAGCCGACUCACAGGGUGUGCAGAGUCUCUGCAGUGGGAACCCAGCAUGGCAGGCAAGGGGAGGCGUGUCACAUGCUGCAGCCUCUGGCUCAGGUCGUCCUCGAGGCCGGGAAGGCAGGGGUCCUGUGCUGACUUCUCCUGGGACAGCGCCGGGGUAGCACGCGUCAAGCCUUGUCCAGAGCCCACAGGCCCGAGGAGAGAAUGCCCCUCCUCCCAAGCUGUGUCUUCGGAGAGAGGCUGGAGCCAUCUGUUGUGUGUGGAGCAAUAAUCCUAAGUGUCCAGGCAGCUGCAGGGGUCAUUGUGACCUGCCUCGGCUCCAGCCAUGAAGGUGAGCGUGCAGAGGUGGAGAGCAGAGGGAGGACACGGGCCCAGUGCCUCCCUGGUGAUCUCUUGUCUCAGGCCAGGCCAGGGCUGGCUGUGAGGGGCUGAGCAGCACAGCGGAAGGGUGUGGACCCCAGCUCCCAGCCCACCUCUGCACGCCCAGAUGCCCUUGGGCUAGUGUCCCUCACAGUGGUGGUGAGGAGGAACCUAGCCAUCCUAAAAGGCCUGGCGUAGUGCUCAUGCUUCGUAAGUGGUGUCUGUGAAUGUCUCUAAGAUACGUUAAAGGAGCCUGGGGAAAAGGGCAGGGAAGGGCGGGAGGGGGCUGCCUGCGGUGUCCUCUACAGGUAGAGGCCUGCAGUGGAGUGCGGGGGUGUCCGGGACCACCGUGUGGUCUAGCCCUGUGGGCUGCACUACAGUAAACCCAGAGCCUCUGUCCCAGACCAGAGCGAGUGGUGAGAGAGGGGCACAGCGCCGCCCCAGGCCCCACAGCUGGGGGUCACAUCGGAGUAAAGCACAGGUGGGAACUCGCGUAAUGAGGGCAAGGGAAAUGGGAAUGCUGGAGAGUGAUUUCCGGCCUUCCCACUUUGCUGCAUGAGCUUGCUCGGGGUUUUUGUGUGCUGCUUCUCCCAAAGCCCCCCAGUACCUAGUUGUGUAUUUUUAGUUGUGGGUCCUUCUAGUUGUGGCAUGUGAGACAGUGCCUCAGCGUGGCUUGAUGAGCGGUGCCAUGUCCGUGCCCAGGAUCCAAACCAGCGAAACCCUGGGCUGCCGAAGCACAGCGAGCAAACUUAACCACUCAGCCACGAGGCCAGCCUCUGCGUGAGCUUUCUUAGUCACCGUUUAUCUUACCCUCUGUGAGCUUGGACUCAGGGGCAUGUUUGGGUGAAAAAAUGGCUGCAUGUGGACUUGUCCUAGACCAAGGGUCUUCACCCUUCCUUGGGAAAUACCCUAGGACUCAAGGUUUCACCGAGAACCAAGUUCAUUUACUUCUCGUGAGUGUUCUCCAGGCUUGUGCUUGUGCAUCUCUCCUGUCUUCUGCCCUGCCGCCCAGUGCUCCCAGAGCGUAUGUCCCCUGUCCCCUGAGACACCUGUAUCUCUUCCACGUACUUGGCGUCACUGAGCUCAGGGUGCUCGGCCAGGACCAAGCAGUGCUUCUCUCACUUGCCCUCAAGGCUGCUGAGGAAGAACCCGGCUUCCACAUCUCACCCCUGCCAGCAAGGUGCUCCCCAAGUUACCUGUCGGCUGGGGUAUCAGAACAUCCUCCUUUCUUUGUCCUCCGAGGAGAGAUUAGCAGAAGGCUGAGAGCAGCUCGCCAGCCAGGGCUCCCCGGCCGCUCUGAUCAAACACCACUCUGCCGCCUCUUCUUGACUGGUUCCCCCAGCGCAGGCCAGAAACAGCUGAUCAAACACAUCAGGACAAGAUAGACGCAGCAACUUAGGAGGCAGUUGGGAACCGUCAGAGGCAGCAGAGAGAAGAGGCAGCUGACAGCCUGAGAGCGAGGGAAGAGAGAGAAACGCCAUUCAAG